UGAUGUGACUAAAUACUGUUAUGAAAAG
rnacentral:piRNA from 1 species